AUUUUAUAUUUAUCAACACCUGCCUGACAAUCGUACGGCGAAUGGCACGUGUUAUACAACUCCCCUGUCACUUUCGUCCUCUGCAUUAUCGCGAAGCCAGAUCGGAGAAACCCUGAAAUCUUCAAUCUGAUCCGCCAGGUCCAUCAAAAAGGAGACGCAGGAACCGAAAGCGAAGAAGACACAAUGUCAGGGUCCGUCAUGGUGGGUGAUUCGAGCUCCUGGUCUCGUGCGUUGGUGAAGAUCUCUCCUUACACAUUCUCCGCUGUUGGUAUCGCCAUCGCCAUCGGCGUCUCAGUCCUCGGCGCUGCCUGGGGGAUUUACAUAACUGGAAGUAGUUUGAUUGGAGCUGCGAUCAAGGCUCC
rnacentral:misc_RNA from 1 species